CGCCGCUGAGAUUAAAACCUGAUGGAGGGUGUCUGAGCGAUGUGUGGAGGAAGGCUUUGAGAUGAGCUGAGGACACACACAGCGAGACUACAGCGAGACAUUUAACUUCGUCAGAGCGUAUCUGGACCUUUUGGCGACCUGGAGACGUUUUGGAAAAAGUCUCCGGGGAUCGUAGUUCCGUCUGGACCCGGCCCGGCCCAGCAGACACCUACCGCUUCCAAGGCCAUUGAUAUUCCCAUUUCUAUUGCUGUAAACAUUAAUGUGCAUCGCUAACUUUGUUUCUAACUUUGUGCUUUCUCGCCUCACAGGUUUCUAUGGAUCCUGGUUAUAUCUGGACCAUGUUCCUGCCUCCUACCGUGGCCCCGCUGACGCCUGCUGCUGCUCUCAUCAUCAUUACUAUUAUUAUUAGUAUUUUAAAAGUUAAUCAUGUUACAUCAUUACCCUUUCCUAAAGUCGUUGUGCU
ensembl:lncRNA